rnacentral:lncRNA from 10 species
GUGACGAUUCAGCACACAGGAAGGUGGCCCUGCCCAGGGCCAAGCUCUCUCUCAGUUGGCACCUGGCCAGGCACCACUCCAAACCGUCUCCUUGGAAAAGCAACUUCAGCCCCAGUGCCUGUCCCUGCUACACCCAACGUUCCUGUCUGGAAAAGAGUUGCUCUUUAUUCAGCACGUGAGUUCCUGACCCCCAGAUAAGGGCCAGUGCAGCCGGGGAGGGAAGCAUUAGUGCUGCCGGGUGGAAGGUGGACGGCGCCUGGAUCCAGACCCAGCAGUGCUCAUGGGGCCAGGCCUGGUGCUCGUUCUUUCUCAGUCCUUAACGCCACCUUGCAAGGUGGGGAUUGUCCUCCCAUCUGGCCAUGAAGAGCUGAAGCAGAGAGGUGCAGUCGCUCAUCUGCGCUCACUGGUCAGUGGGUCGCUGCGUCCCCAGAGGCCCCUGGGCAGGGUGGGCGCUGCGUCCCCAGAGGCCCCUGGGCAGGGUGGACGCCUCUGCAGGUGCCCGCACAGGGGCUUUCUCCUUCACUUGGCCACACUCAGCCUUUGAUCUGAAACAAUGAAAGCCCCUGAGUCACUGGUCCUUCCCGAGCCCGUGUGUGGCCCACAGCAAGGAGCUGCCUGUCCCAAGUUCGGGGGGUUUCUUUGGCUUACGCGGAUACUGUAUGUGAGUGUUGGCAGAGCAGCGUGAGCCUCGGCCUGCAAACUCAGGACGGCACCAAGCCCCAUCGCCUUGGUAUCUUCCAGGUGGACCCUCAGCCUGCUGAGUGGACAGGAAACCAUCUGUCAUUUAGGGUUCCUGCUCCCAACUCCCCCCAACAGCUGUCACCACCACCGUGGUUGUGCAAAGGUCCCAGGCCUUUCAGAGUGGGCCCUGAUCACUGUCCAUCCUGGCCGGGUCUGCUGAAACAAACAUGGUCACAAUCUCGUGGUACUUUCUGCCUCGUGGCUCUGUGUCCACACUGGAGAGACUAGGACCCAAUCCUGGGGCCCCUCCCACAGGCGCCAUAUGGCUAUUCCCCUCAGAGACGCACCAGGCCAGCCCCACUGCCCUCAGGACCAACCUCCAACUUCUCCUCGGCUUGGGAUCUCCGGUUUCUCUCUUUGUCAAGGCACCCUGAUAUGGUUCGGCUCUGUUCCCACCCAAAUCUCAUCUCGAUUUGUAUCCCCACGUGUCAAGGGAGGGACCUGUAAUCCCCAUGUGUCGAGGGAGGGAGGUGAUUGGAUUAUGGGGGCGGUUCCCCCAUGCUGUUCUCAGGACGGUGAGUGAGUGAGUUCUCACGACAUCUGGUGGUUUUAUAAGUGUUUGGCAAGUUCCUUCGCUCACUCUUCUCUCUCCUGCCACCUUGUGAAGGAGGUAUUUGCUUCCCCUUCACCUUCCGCCAUGACUGUAAGUUUCCUGAGGCCUUCCCAGCCAUGCAAAACUGUGAGUCAAUUAAACCUCUUUCCCGGCCGGGCGUGAUGGCUCAUGCCUGUAAUCCCAGCACUUUGGGAGGCCGAGGCAGGUGGAUCACUUGAGGUCAGGAGUUCGAGACCAGCCUGGCCAACAUAGAAACCCCAUCUCUACUAAAAAUACAAAAAAUUAGCUGAGUGUGGUGGCGGGCGCCUGUAAUUCCAGCUACUCAGGAGGCUGAGGCAGGAGAAUCACUGGAACCCAGAAGACGGAGGUUGCGGUGAGCCAAGAUCAUGCCAUUGCACUCCAGCCUGGGCAACAAGAGGGAAACUCCAUCUCAAAAUAAAUAAAUAAA